AGCGAACGCUGGCGGCGUGCUUAACACAUGCAAGUCGAACGUGAAAUGUAGCAAUACAGAGUAAAGUGGCGUACGGGUGAGUAACACGUGGGUAAUCUACCAAAGUGCCUGGAAUAACCGGCCGAAAGGCUGGCUAAUACUAGAUAGUUCAAGCCAUCUGUAAGGGAUGGAUUGGGAAAGGGAGCGGGUAACCGCCUUCACAUUUUGAUGAGCCCGCGUCUGAUUAGGUAGUUGGUGAGGUAAUGGCUCACCAAGCCUGAGAUCAGUAGCUGGUCUGAGAGGAUGAUCAGCCACACUGGAACUGAAACACGGUCCAGACUCCUACGGGAGGCAGCAGUGGGGAAUCUUGCGCAAUGGACGAAAGUCUGACGCAGCCACGCCGCGUGAGUGAAGAAG
rnacentral:rRNA from 1 species